rnacentral:rRNA from 1 species
UACGGGGGGAGCAAGCGUUGUUCGGAUUUACUGGGCGUAAAGGGCGCGUAGGCGGUCAGCACAAGUCAGUUGUGAAAUCUCCGGGCUUAACUCGGAAAGGUCAACUGAUACUGUGCGACUAGAGUGCAGAAGGGGCAACUGGAAUUCUCGGUGUAGCGGUGAAAUGCGUAGAUAUCGAGAGGAACACCUGCGGCGAAGGCGGGUUGCUGGGUUGCCACUGACGCUGAUGCGCGAAAGCCAGGGGAGCAAACGGG